rnacentral:tRNA from 1 species
UGCUUGGUAGUUAAUAUUUGUAUAACUGAGAACUGCAAAUUCUCUAUAGUCUAAUUAGACCUGAGCUU